rnacentral:rRNA from 1 species
UACCCGCAGCACAAGUGGGGGUCCUUAUUAUUGGGCCUAAAGCGUCCGUAGCUGGCUUGUUAGUUGCCUGGGUAAAUCGAUGCGCUCAACGCAUCGAAUUCCGGGUAGACCGGCAAGCUCGAGACCGGGAGAGGCGUGAGCUACUCGAGGGGUAGGGGUAAAAUCCUGUAAUCCUUCGGGGAGGACCAGUGGCGAAGGCGUCACGCUAGAACGGCUCUGACAGUGAGGGACGAAGCCCUGGGGCGCAAACCGG